rnacentral:rRNA from 1 species
AGACACGGCCCAGACUCCUACGGGAGGCAGCAGUAGGGAAUCUUCCGCAAUGGACGAAAGUCUGACGGAGCAACGCCGCGUGAGUGAUGAAGGUUUUCGGAUCGUAAAGCUCUGUUGUUAGGGAAGAACAAGUGCGAGAGUAACUGCUCGCACCUUGACGGUACCUAACCAGAAAGCCACGGCUAACUACGUGCCAGCAGCCGCGGUAAUACGUAGGUGGCAAGCGUUGUCCGGAAUUAUUGGGCGUAAAGGGCUCGCAGGCGGUUUCUUAAGUCUGAUGUGAAAGCCCCCGGCUCAACCGGGGAGGGUCAUUGGAAACUGGGAAACUUGAGUGCAGAAGAGGAGAGUGG